UUGUAAUAAAAAGAAAAAGAAAUUUGGCUUGGGGAGGAUUUGGGCUAUUGUAAGUUCCUGAGAUGAUUUUUUUUCCCACUAUGUUCAGAAUCCUUACAGAUAUAUAAGAUAGUAUUUACCACAUUAUGCUGCAAUAACCAACAGCUUCUGAAAUCCAGCAACAAAAGUUUGUAAAUUUUUAUUUCCUGUUUAUUUUAUAUUUAGGUUGUGGUAGCUGCACAUUAACUGUGACCCUGCUCCACAUACAUUCUUCAACCCAGAACCUAAGGAGAAGAAGCAGCCUUUCCUUGCUACAUAUCUUUCUCAUUGCAGAAGAAAAUGAAGACGGUUGAAUCGUACAUGACUCAAAACUUCAGACAUGACCUGCUGAACUGCACAGCUCUAAGGACUAUAUGAGCCAGGCUUCAGCUGGCUGCUGACCAGAGUUUCAGUAUGAAGCAAGUGCUCAUUAAGCACAACGAAGUUCAGACAUGAAUCCACUUCCUCAAAACCCACCUGUGAGCACAGUCAUCUCAUUUCCAAGCAACGAUUAGUUUCUGGUCAGUAUCUGGUACCAAAGGUCUGUGGAUCUGCCAUGGCAUCAUCAUUAAGCUAUCAGGUAUGUCUUCAAC